GCCCAUAUGGCUCAGUGGCUAGAGCAUCUCACUCGUAAGAGAAUCAUGAGAAGAUCCCUUGUUCGACUCAAGGUGUGGGCU
rfam:Byssochlamys spectabilis No. 5 DNA, contig: PVAR5_00017_4.